UUAAAGCCUGACAACAGUUUAUUUGACCCUCGCCAUUUUGCGGAUUUUCAAUGGUACUAAUUUCUUUUACUGGCAACAAGUACUCUUUGACAACGAACGUUGGAUGUCAUCGAAUGUAACCGAUGUAAACAAACAAAAAAUAUCCACGAAUAUAUUCAAAUAUAAACGGUUUUAUUACAAAAAUGCAAAAAAAAAAUUCCAAAGAUGCGAAAAAAUUUUGUAGUGAAUGCAAUCAAAUACUUACAGCUUAAAAAAGACGAAGGAUUACAUAGCAUUCCAAUAAACAAUGUUUUAAAGUUGGUUGUUGACAUGACCGGUAUUGACAUUUUAUAGUGCGGUUGUAUAGAACUGGUUUAUGUAGAUCGACGAUAAAAAAUAUUUCUUAAAAUAAUGAGACGGUCUUGACUUUGCCCCCUGUACAAAACUAAGCCCCACACAAAAAGAGAAUUCAAAUAGACGACUUCGAUAAAUGUGCCAUAAGGCAUAAAAUCCAUGAAUUUUAUACCGUGCGAAAACAAGUUCCGAGUAUCAAAACUCUGCUCACUGCUUUGAAAAAAGACAUUGGAUUUACAGGCAGCAGAGAGUACUUACGAAAACUGAUGCACAGUAUGGGAUUCAAAUAUAAAAAAAUGCAGAAACCAACGGUCAAUAUUGAUGGAGCGUUCCGAUAUUGUGGUUUGGCGUGAAAGUUAUUUGGAUCAAAUACAAGAAGCAAGGGAUAAAAAUAUGCCUAUGGUUUAUUUGGACGAGACCUACAUUCAUACUUCUCUGAACCACGCCAAAUGUUGGCAGAGCGAAAAUGAAC